UUGACAUCCCGGUCGCGGUUUCCAGAGAUGGAUUCCUUCAGUUCGGCUGGACCGGUGACAGGUGCUGCAUGGCUAUCGUCAGCUCGUGUCGUGAGAUGUUGGGUUAAGUCCCGCAACGAGCGCAACCCUCGCCCUUAGUUGCCAUCAUUCAGUUGGGCACUCUAAGGGGACUGCCGGUGAUAAGCCGAGAGGAAGGUGGGGAUGACGUCAAGUCCUCAUGGCCCUUACGGGCUGGGCUACACACGUGCUACAAUGGUGGUGACAGUGGGCAGCGAGACCGCGAGGUCGAGCUAAUCUCCAAAAGCCAUCUCAGUUCGGAUUGCACUCUGCAACUCGAGUGCAUGAAGUUGGAAUCGCUAGUAAUCGCGGAUCAGCAUGCCGCGGUGAAUACGUUCCCGGGCCUU
rnacentral:rRNA from 1 species